GCAUUGAUAGCUCAGUGCGGCAGAGCGGUGAGGAGUUGGCUCAUGCGGCCCGGGUUCGAGUCCCGGUCGAUUUA